rnacentral:rRNA from 1 species
UACGUAGGGUGCAAGCGUUGUUCGGAAUCAUUGGGCGUAAAGCGCGUGUAGGCGGUUUGUUAAGUCGAUUGUGAAAUCCCUGGGCUCAACCGAGGAAGUGCAGUCGAAACUAACAAGCUAGAAGAAGGUAGAGAAAGGUGGAAUUCCAAGUGUAGAGGUGAAAUUCGUAGAUAUUUGGAGGAAUACCGGUGGCGAAGGCGGCCUUUUGGGCCUUUCUUGACGCUGAGACGCGAAAGCGUGGGUAGCAAACAGG